AUUGAACUGACAUGUCCCGAAUAGGACGAAACGCGCGUCCUGUAU
rnacentral:hammerhead_ribozyme from 1 species